GCUCCCCAAGCCGGCCAUGCUUCAAAAAGGAGCCUCGCACCAGGAACCCCCUUCAGACGGUGGAGAGCACAGCGUCCAUGAGCGGGGACCCCCUCUCUGCAUCUCUACCCAUCCCGACACCAAACAUCCAACCACCCUCCCACCCAACCAAAUCGGCCAGGACCAGUGUGAACGAUCCUUCUUCUUCAAAACACAGACUGCGAGUCUGCAGGGGGGGAAACACAACAUGGACAGUUGACACAACAUGCUUCAGGUUGAAUAGCUGCAGGUCAGACCGGCUGGCUGGGUGACAAACUGAGGAAUUCAUCCAAACCUCUGGUUCUUUAAUAUGAGACUGAGUCACCUCCCAUGUAAUCAACAGGACGUAGGAGGUCAUAGUCCAUGUUGAUCAAAGACGGUCUCCUGAAAGACAUCCGUUGCAUAAAUGUUGAUAUGGUUUGCUUACAUGCGAGGAGGGGGAAGGGAAAAGCACGAGGAUCUGUGCUGAGUUGCACCAUGUCACGUUCAGCCCAACAGCUGCCUGGUGGAAUCCAGCUCUGUUGAUUCUGAGCCUCUGAAUCCACAUUGGCAGAGACGCUGAUACAAAGACAGCUGUGUGUGCUUCAGACGACAAGAUGGUAAAUAAGUGACAGCAUAAAACUAUGUAGCUUCAAGGCUGAAUCAAACUUUUCUGUGUUUUUCUACAUCUGUGUUAUUUUAGGUUCCAGCACAUCUGCGUAAAGCGUAGCUACAUAACCAGAAACAACAAUAGAUAGGCCUGAGGUCAAGAAACUUUGCCAUAGCAAAAUAUUUUAUUCAUAUGAUUUUAUUCUUAUUCUUAUUAUGUGUAGUGCCUUUUAUGUUGUUUCUUUUUGGCCCAAUAUAGUGAACUGGCUGGGCAUAUUUGCUAUUAAUUUAACAAUUUAAUACAUAUACAAUGAUUUUGGGCAGUGCUAUUUUAGUAUACAUGAAUUUAAACUAAAUUAAAAUGAGAUGUUACUUUGGAAACUAGCUAAAAUGUAACUUUUAUAUAUAUAUAUAUAUAUAUAUAUAUAUAAUUUUAUUACACCAUUCUGAAGUGUAUCCACAUUUAAGUGUAUCUAAAAUAUGUAAUAAAAAAUGUUUAUGAGAAAAGGAGAAAAUAUUGCUUUUUAAAAAAUAUGUUAUACAUAUAUGAAAUACAUAUAUGAUAUUUUUGUAUGUUUCAAUGUCAUUUGGUUUAUUUUUAUUUCUUUAUUUCAUUCAUUUAGAAGAAAAACAGUGUUAGGAAUUUAGGAAUUAUGUAUAUACAAUACGCGUAUUGUUCUUUAUGUGUGUUAUUUGUGGUUUGGUUUGCAAUAUGUCUAUUUACAACUGUAAAAAUGACCCGUAAACAUGCUUCUCAGGUCUUUUGUUUGUGGACUGCAGUUUAGCAAUAAAAGUCUGAGUCAUGAUUCUCUGUUCAAACGACAUGAAAAUCUCAAUAGACUAGUACACCUGUCUAGGAGCAUUAAAGAAAUAAUAAAAAAGCUGUUUUAGAAUUGGUUAUUGUGAUCAGCAAAUCUAGGUAGCUGAGUGCAGUAACAUGUUUAGACAUGAGUUAGAUGGAAUGCUUGAAUUUAAUCAAAAUCUAACAUUUCAUCAGGUUUUGGACAGAUUUUGAAGGUGGAGUUUAGUUACUUUUAUAUGACCUGUUGUUGUAUAAAACACAUUGAAAUGUGCUUAAAUAAAGUUGACUGUAAAUGCUAGUACAAAACUCUGACCUACAUGUAACACAAAACUCUCCAUUCUGGCUCAGACUUGCACAUAUGACGCAGAGGAAGAGAUCUACAGGGUGGAGGGACUUGCAUGGCUGGUAAUGCCGUGGAAAUGACACACACAUAGCUGAUUAAUCUGAGCAUGGCACACCUGGCAUGCCAAGGUGUGUUCUUCCUCUUCCCUCCAUUUUUCUCAUUCAAAUGCCAAUGUUCCCAAGGCCAAACGUCUUUAGCCAUCUGCUUAACCAAGACCACACACUGCCAUUCCAUUUGGAGUGAGAAUUCCCGUGAUUUGCCACACUGUCCACCAUGUGCUGGGUAAGACAAGCAGUAUUGAGUGCUCUGUGUGUGUUUGUAGUGACACAUUACAGAAAAAAACACUGUUAGGUUAAGAGGCAAUUAAUCAGCAACCAAGGGCAAACAAAUGUACAUUCUGAACAUGUUUUUCAAACAUAUUAUGGUUGUUUAAUUUAAAAUGUGAAAAAAAUGUGAAAAAAAAAACUUGUCUGGUUUUCUUAGUGUUAGUGAAACAUUGUUUUAAUGAAAGCAUAAUGUCCCUACAAAGACUUUCAACUUAAUUUAACAACUCAAUAUUCUAGAAACAUUAAAAUAUGUCUAGUUUCCAUCACUUUAAUAAAACGUUGUUUUAUGGUUAGCAUACUGUUCCUGCAACAGUCUUUCACUUUAAUUACAUUAACAACUCAACAUUCUAGGAAUGCCAAUUUGCAACAUUUCAAGAAUGUAAAACUGUAAAAUUUUCGGAAUGUUAUUAGAACGUUAUUUUACGGUUAGCAUAGUAUUCCUGCAUCAGUCUUUCAACUUAAUGUUAACUCAACAACUAGGAACUAAGAAAAUUCCAGUUUCCAUAUUACUAAGUCAAUGUUAUGUAUCCAUCUUAUUUUUCAACAUGGAAGUAAGCCGUUUUCUGUGAAUGUGCAACACUUCCGGUUCGUUAGCCGUUGUAGGGAAAUAAGGAGAAGAAUAACAUAGUACAGUAAACGGUAAAACUGUUUGCACUACAAACCAUUGUGUUCAUAAUUAAGAUAAUACAUUAAAUAAUAUGGUAAGACAUCAGUUUGCAAUAUCAAGCAGCAAAACAAGCUGUUUUGUACAGCUACAAAUAGCUAGAAGCUAAUGAAC